rnacentral:lncRNA from 1 species
GCCACUUUUGUAGUUGGCAGGCGUUGCGUUGCGUCGCUGUAGCUGUGUUCCGUAGGGAGGGUUUCUCUGUGCAGCUUUGGAGCCUGUCCUUGAAGUCGCUUCGAUAGAUAGACCAGGCUGCCCUCGAACUCACAGAGAUCCUCCUGCCUCUGCCUCCCGAGUGCUGGGAUUAAAGGCGUGCGUGGCCACCGCCUGGCUGGUUCUUCGCUCUUAAGCUGACAAAAAUGCACAUAACCGGUCCUCCUGUUCCUCAUGUUGUGGUGACCGCCAACCAUAAAAUUAUUUUGUUGCAAGGCUGGAGAGAUGGCUCGGCAGUUAAGAGCACUGACUGUUCUUCCAGAGGUCCGGAGUUCAAUUCCCAGCAACCACAUGGUGGCUAACAACCACCUUGAAUGAGAUUUGGUGCCUUCUGCUGGCAUGCAGGCAGCAGAAGACUGUAUACAUAAUAAAUAAAAUCUUUUUUAAAAAACUAUUUUGCGGCUACUUCAUAGCUGUAAUUGUUUUUGUUUGUUUUUCGAGACAGGGUUUCUCUAUGUAGCUUUGGAGGCUGUCCUGGAACUCACUCUGGAGACCAGGCUGGCCUCGAACUCCCAGAGAUCCGCCUGCCUCUACCUCCCGAGUUCUGGAA